UUGGGCAAUAUGGUGAAACCCUGUCUCUACUAAAAAUACAAAAAUUAACUGGGUGUGGUGGUGCACCCCUGUAAUCCCAAAGACAACUCAAGAGGCUGACACAAAAUAAUCUCUUGAGCCUGAGGGACAGAGGUUGCAAUGAGCCAGGAUUGCACCCUGCACUCCAGCCUGAGUGACAGAGUGAGACUCUGUCUCAA